rnacentral:rRNA from 1 species
GACGAACGCUGGCGGCGUGCCUAAUACAUGCAAGUUGAGCGAUGAAGAUUGGUGCUUGCUCCUCUUUGAAGAGCAGCGAACGGGUGAGUAACGCGUGGGGAAUCUGCCUUUGAGCGGGGGACAACAUCUGGAAACGAAUGCUAAUACCGCAUAACAACUUUAAACAUAAGUUUUAAGUUUGAAAGAUGCUCUUGCAUCACUCAAUGAUGAUCCCGCGUUGUAUUAGCUAGUUUGUGAGGUAAAGGCCCACCAAGGCGAUGAUACAUAGCCGGCCCGAGAGGGUGAUCCGCCACAUCUGGACUGGGGCACGGCCCAAGCUCCUACGGGAGGCAGCAGGAGGGGAACUUCGGCAAAGGGGGAAAGGCUGAACGGGGAACGGCGCGUUGGGGGAUAAGGUUUUCCGAUCGUAAAACUCUGUUGGUAGGGAAGAACGAUGGUGGGAGUGGAAAGCUCAUAUAGUGACGGUAACUACCCAGAAAGCGACGGCUAACUACGUG